rnacentral:rRNA from 1 species
UAGCUAGUUGGUGAGGUAAAGGCUUACCAAGGCGACGAUCUGUAGCGGGUCUGAGAGGAUGAUCCGCCACACUGGAACUGAGACACGGUCCAGACUCCUACGGGAGGCAGCAGUGGGGAAUUUUGGACAAUGGGGGCAACCCUGAUCCAGCCAUGCCGCGUGAGUGAAGAAGGCCUUCGGGUUGUAAAGCUCUUUCGGCCGGGAAGAAAUCGCAUGGGCCAAUACCCUGUGUGGAUGACGGUACCGGAAUAAGAAGCACCGGCUAACUACGUGCCAGCAGCCGCGGUAAUACGUAGGGUGCGAGCGUUAAUCGGAAUUACUGGGCGUAAAGCGUGCGCAGGCGGUUUUGUAAGACAGGCGUGAAAUCCCCGGGCUUAACCUGGGAACUGCGUUUGUGACUGCAAGGCUAGAGUACGGCAGAGGGGGGUGGAAUUCCACGUGUAGCAGUGAAAUGCGUAGAGAUGUGGAGGAACACCAAUGGCGAAGGCAGCCCCCUGGGUCGAUACUGACGCUCAUGCACGAAAGCGUGGGUAGCAAACAGGAUUAGAUACCCUGGUAGUCCACGCCCUAAACUAUGUCAACUAGGUGUUGGGUGGGUAAAACCAUUUAGUACCGUAGCUAACGCGUGAAGUUGACCGCCUGGGGAGUACGGCCGCAAGGUUAAAACUCAAAGGAAUUGACGGGGACCCGCACAAGCGGUGGAUGAUGUGGAUUAAUUCGAUGCAACGCGAAAAACCUUACCUACCCUUGACAUGCCAGGAACUUGCCAGAGAUGGCUUGGUGCCCGAAAGGGAGCCUGGACACAGGUGCUGCAUGGCUGUCGUCAGCUCGUGUCGUGAGAUGUUGGGUUAAGUCCCGCAGCGAGCGCAACCCUUGUCGUUAAUUGCCAUCAUUUAGUUGGGCACUUUAACGAGACUGCCGGUGACAAACCGGAGGAAGGUGGGGAUGACGUCAAGUCCUCAUGGCCCUUAUGGGUAGGGCUUCACACGUCAUACAAUGGUCGGUACAAAGGGUUGCCAAGCCGCGAGGCGGAGCCAAUCCCAGAAAGCCGAUCGUAGUCCGGAUUGCAGGCUGCAACUCGCCUGCAUGAAGUCGGAAUCGCUAGUAAUCGUGGAUCAGCAUUUCACGGUGAAUACGUUCCCGGGUCUUGUACACACCGCCCGUCACACCAUGGGAGCGGGUUCCGCCAGAAGUAGGUAGCCUAACCGCAAGGGGGGCGCUUACCACGGCGGGGUUCGUGACUGGGGUGAAGUCGGAACAAGGUAGCCGUAGGGGAACCUGCGGCUG